UUGAUAAGAAUUAUUUUUUGUUGCAUUGAGCUUUUAGGACUACUCCUGGUUAUUAAUAGACCUGAAUAUUUCGCUAAAUUACAAAAUUAUUUUAGAUAGAGAUGCCAUUUCUAAAAAUAAUGGUUUAGCGACAAGAUGUUUUGUUGGUUUCUAAAGAUAAUUUAGGACAAGUUGGCGUUAGUCGCUAAAAAGAUUUAACGAAAGAAAUAUAUAUAUUUCAUAGUUUAUUAGGGACGACAAAUUCUCUAAAUGUUAUUCGCAACCAGGUUUUCUGUCUGUCCCUAAAAGGAAAUUUAGGACCAUAUACAUUUGGUCGCUAAAACGAUUUCACGACGGGAAUAAAUAUUUUUUUCAUCGCCUGUUAGGACGAAAAAUCUGGUCACUAAACGCAUUUUACGAUCGGUGUUUUCUCUCGUCUCUAAAGUGAGUUAACGACCAGAUAUUAAGACCCCCGUCGUUAUUGAUCUUUAGCGACGAAGGCUAUUACGACGGGUUACGGUCAGCCUUUUCCCGUUGUAAUUGACCCUUUUAGGACCAGAUUUUCACUUUUAGGGAACAGAUUUUCCUUCCUUAACGGUCAUUUUUCUUGUAGUGCAUGACCGUGAGUCGUAAUUCUUUUAAUUCGAAAUAUGUGACACAACUGUCUUGUUUAUUUGAUGAAUUCCAUAUAAAGCGUUAUUUGAGAAGGAAAUGGGUUAAAAGAAAAUGUGUUGAAAUGAUUUCCUUGUCGGGACGAGUAGACUGUUAUUAUUGUAUUCUCCCCUGCCGGAAUAUUUGAGCUGUUAAUGAUAUUCCCUCGUCGGGAUUCCUUAUUUUGUUGUCACAUUGGACAACCUCAUCAACCAUUAAAGGCUCAUUUACUUCAUGCUUAAUAAACAAAUCCAAAUGAUCAAGAUGAUUAAGGUGGCAAACUAUAUUACACAGUUGUUCAUUAUUUUCAAUAAAGUCAAAGUCAUUAGAUUUUGGAUUAAUCAAAUAGAAACCCAAUACCCCAGCAUGCCCCCUUUGUGUAGGACAGAAGCUCAAAAAGAUAAAAGUGGUUCUUGCCUAUCAUGUGACCAUCCUCACCCCUCUCUCCUACAUGUCUCGAGUUAGGAUCCUUGACAAUUUGUCCACUAUGGUGAAAAUCGUCGAGAAUAUAUUUGUCUGCAUACAUAACUAGAUUUACCAUUGUAUUGAAAAACCAAAAAAAACAAAACAGAGGAUGUCAGUAGAUUCCCCGAUCCUAAAUUAUUAAAAAAUUUAUUUUUUCCAAAUCCCACCAAACUAAAUUAUAACAGCCAAAAACAACUAAAUAUUCUGUAAAUAAAAGCUUACCACAAAGAAAAAACUUCAAUUGAAAGAACAUAAACCACGAAACUUCAGUCACGACCAACUCCACUCACCACCACGGUCGUAAGAAACAAAAGAUUACUCGUAUUAGUAGUAUAGUUGACCAAGUUGUUGACGGACAGUUCGAUCUUACUCAAAAUCGAUGAAGAUUCCACCGGGAAUAGUUCUCAAUGUAGUUCAUUAGGGCUUAUUAGGCUAAGGAAAGGGGAUUUUGGUGGAAGAUCGAUUAAU
rnacentral:lncRNA from 1 species